rnacentral:rRNA from 1 species
UGGGGAAUAUUGCACAAUGGGCGAAAGCCUGAUGCAGCGACGCCGCGUGAGGGAUGACGGCCUUCGGGUUGUAAACCUCUUUCAGCAGGGAAGAAGCGAAAGUGACGGUACCUGCAGAAGAAGCGCCGGCUAACUACGUGCCAGCAGCCGCGGUAAUACGUAGGGCGCAAGCGUUGUCCGGAAUUAUUGGGCGUAAAGAGCUCGUAGGCGGUUAGUCGCGUCUGCUGUGAAAACUCGAGGCUCAACCUCGGGCUUGCAGUGGGUACGGGCUGACUAGAGUGCGGUAGGGGUGACUGGAAUUCCUGGUGUAGCGGUGGAAUGCGCAGAUAUCAGGAGGAACACCGAUGGCGAAGGCAGGUCACUGGGCCGCAACUGACGCUGAGGAGCGAAAGCAUGGGGAGCGAACAGGAUUAGAUAGCCCUGGUAGUCCAUGCCGUAAACGUUGGCACUAGGUGUGGGUCCAUUCCACGGAUUCCGUGCCGCAGCAAACGCAUUAAGUGCCCCGCCUGGGGAGUACGGCCGCAAGGCUAAAACUUAAAUGAAUUGACGGGGUCAUAGCUGUUUCCU